ensembl:snRNA U6 U6 spliceosomal RNA
GCACUAGUUCUCUAGUGCAUCUACUAAAAUUGGAACGAUACAGAGAAGAUUAGCAUGGCCCCUGCGCAAGGAUGACACACAAAUUCGUGAAGCGUUCCUCAUUUUC